rnacentral:rRNA from 1 species
UACGUAGGGUGCGAGCGUUGCCCGGAUUUAUUGGGCGUAAAGGGCGCGUAGGCGGCUUGCCAAGUCGGGGGUGAAAUCCAGCAGCUUAACUGUUGAAGUGCCUUCGAUACUGGCAAGCUCGAGGAAGGUAGGGGUAUGUGGAACUUCUGGUGGAGCGGUGAAAUGCGUUGAUAUCAGAAGGAACGCCGGUGGCGAAAGCGACGUACUGGACCUUUUCUGACGCUGAGGCGCGAAAGCUAGGGGAGCAAACGGG